CUCCAGCGCCUGCAGCACCUCCUUCACCUCCUCCUUGGCCAGCUGGUUCUCCGUUUGCAGCCGGCACAGCUCCUCCUGGGAGGGACGUGGGGUCAGAUCUAUUCUUGUCUUCCAGCUGUUUGUACAGGUUGCUGAUGUCCUCCUCGUAUUUGCUCCGCUCGUGGCAACAAUAUUAUUUGACUUUUCUUUCACAAAGCUGAACUGUACCUGUAGGUCUGUCUUGAUGAGCGAGGCUCCUGCUUGGACCAGAUAAUGACAGAUAGUUCUUUGACACAGGGACGCAGCUCGGUGAAGGACCGUCUCCCCCCUGGUCAACAGAAGAGAGAGAGAGAGAGACAACAUCACCCGAGGAACAGAC